AUUGUCCAUAUUGGAGACCUGUCCAGUUUUGUACCUGCUGCUGUAUUGGACUUUACUAAAUCCAAGAUGAACAAGCUAUUCUUUAUCCUUCUCAUCGCCAUGGUUGUAUCUUGCUUCGCGGAGCCAGAAGCAGCACCUGACAAGACCGUAGACAAGCGGUCCAUUUUCCUGUACCCAUCGUACCCGCGCCUGUACCGUGGGUAUCCGUACCGCGCUGGGUUCUACCCGUACGCGUAUGGACAUCCCUAUUAUGAGCCGGCUGCUCGGUACUUUUAUCCCUACUGAUUUAACAAAUGGAACUAUGUAAAUGCCUGGAUUUGAAAUUAUUCUUUUAGUUUUCUUUUCAACAUUUUUCUCGCGUUCGUUUCAUUUAAAUUGUACACAUAAGACAUACAUACUUUUUACAAAAAAUAAAAUAAAAAAAUAAACCGACUUCAAUAAUUCUAACACUCAAAACCGCGAAAUAAAACUCUUACGCAAUUUCCGACUUAUGGAUGUAUGUUGCUAAAGACUUGUAUAAUUAUACCUGGUAGUUUAGUAAUAAAAUUACAUUGUAGCAUUCAUUAUGUGCACUAAGGAUUGACUUUACCAACAUUAAAUUUUAUAAACAUAAAGCAAAUGUAAUCAUUA